AGCUAUACGAAUUAAUGUGUAGUUAUUUCUGCUCCAUGAUUAUUAAAUAGCCGCAGUACUCUGACUGUGCAAAGGUAGCAUAAUCAGUUGGCUCUUAAUUAGAGUCUGGUAUGAAUGAAAAUAUGAGUGGUAGCUGUCUUAGUGUAUUUAUAUGAAUUUAUUAAACGAGUGCAAAGACUUGUAACUUAAUAAUAGACGAGAAGACCCUAGAAACUUGGUAUAGUUUUUGUUGGGGCGACAUGGUUACACUUAACUAACUUUAUAUGACAUGACAUAAUAUUGGUAGAGUAAGUUACUCUAGGGAUAACAGCAUAAUUUAAAUAGUUUGUGACCUCGAUGUUGGACUAGGUAUUGUACCCCUUAGACAGGGGUAUUAAGUGCUCUGUUCGAGCAAUAUACACCUACAU
rnacentral:rRNA from 1 species